UUAUCAUGUCAACACCAGGGAUUGUUUCACUGGCAUACAGUGUGUAUGUGGGAAGGUUACAGAAUUCAUUUCCUGUAACCGCAUGGAGACUGUCACCGUGCCACGUGAGGAUCAUGUGCAACCCUUGAAAAAGGUGACCUGCACGUUCCUGUGUGUGGAAGCAGAUGGUCAGGUGGACACCUCCACUUGGGUUCAGGAUCAUGCUGAUAACUCUCCCUACAGCGAUUCAGAGAGUGAACCAGACUCUGAGGAGAAAGAGGAGGGCCUUAACUUUUUGGAGUUGGAGGUGCCCUUUAUUAGCUACGAUCUAUCAGAGAGAGGGGUUACUGAUAUCGGCCUGAACCUGUGUGCCCUCCUUAAGGCGUUCUCUACUUUGCUUGCCAACAUCCACAACCAGAACUUCCUGUUUGUGGUGGGAAAGAAGAUCGUGGUGGGUCUGGCAGCAGCUAACAACCAGGGUUACAAAUACAAUAUUUGUAACCCUGAUAUUCCUAUAGUGUGAGGGAGGAUUCUGAGAGAGCCUGUUUGCCGUUAUCAGCAUGUGGGACGUGUACAUGUGGGAGCCUGCAGCAGAGCAGUACUUCACAGCGCUUAUUGUAGGUGUUCAAUAUCUUCACAUACCAUGAUAAACAAAUUCUCAGCAUUGCAUCUUUAACUCCGUGGCACUAUGUUGGAUUUGUGUGUGUGUGUG
ensembl:lncRNA